GACCCCGUAGCUCAUUAGGAUAGAGCGGGACUUUCCUAAAGUCUAGGUAGCAGGUUCAAAUCCUGUCGGGGUCG
rnacentral:tRNA from 1 species